GAUUCUGGCUCAGGAUGAACGCUAGCUACAGGCUUAACACAUGCAAGUCGAGGGGCAGCAUAUCGAAAGCUUGCUUUGAUGAUGGCGACCGGCGCACGGGUGAGUAACGCGUAUCCAACCUUCCCUAUACUAGAGGAUAGCCCGGCGAAAGUCGGAUUAAUACCCUAUGUUCUUCGUAGAAGACAUCUGAAAUGAAGCAAAGGUUUACCGGUAUAGGAUGGGGAUGCGUCUGAUUAGGUUGUUGGCGGGGUAACGGCCCACCAAGCCCACGAUCAGUAGGGGUUCUGAGAGGAAGGUCCCCCACAUUGGAACUGAGACACGGUCCAAACUCCUACGGGAGGCAGCAGUGAGGAAUAUUGGUCAAUGGACGAGAGUCUGAACCAGCCAAGUAGCGUGCAGGAUGACGGCCCUAUGGGUUGUAAACUGCUUUUAUACAGGGAUAAAGUGCACUACGUGUAGUGUUUUGUAGGUACUGUAUGAAUAAGGACCGGCUAAUUCCGUGCCAGCCGCGGC
rnacentral:rRNA from 1 species